CAAUAAUAUGUUUCGUAUGAAUGAUACAAGUAUGAAAAAAAUUAUAAAUUCACCAAAACAUUGUAGUCAUUCAAAAGUUAUAAGACAACUUUAUGAUUUUAGCUUUUCUGAUGAAGUCGAACUAUCAACAUAUGAAAUUUGUAGUACAGCUGUAAUCAAAUCAAAGAGGCAAAAAACUUAAACUACAAUUAUUUAUUAUUCUCCAACAGGUCAAAUAAAAGAAAUGCACUGAAAGAAAACCUGAUGAUCGUAAUCUGCUAUCAUGUAUGCAAUAUAAAGAAAAAAAUGUUGAAGUGUAUCAAACUACAUCAUCUCCAUUUAAAGUAUCUAUUAUGGAGAAUAACUUAAAUAGAUCUGAAAUUAUCGGGGACAACAUGAAUUUUGCAUUUACAUCAGCUAUUACACAAAGUAUAUU